CGCUAGUAAUCGCGAAUCAGAAUGUCGCGGUGAAUACGUUCCCGGGUCUUGUACACACCGCCCGUCACACCAUGGGAGUUGGAAAUGCCCGAAGUCAGUGACCCAACCAAAAGGAGGGAGCUGCCGAAGGCAGGUUCGAUGACUGGGGUGAAGUCGUAACAAGGUAUC
rnacentral:rRNA from 1 species